UCCCUGGUAGCUCAGUGGUAAAGAAUCUGCCCGAAAUGCAGGAGACCCAGGUUUGACCCCUGGGUUGGGAA
rnacentral:tRNA from 1 species